ACGCCUCAAAAUUGCAUUGAGCAAAUUUGAGGUCAAGCGGGAAGAGUGGGCGUCUUCCUGCAAAAAUAACCACAACAUGGCCAGUAUAAAGCAGGAUGUGGUCCUCCUGCUCGAAAAGCUUCAAGCAGCAGGUUAUAAACCUGUCCUCCUGCUUGGGAAAGCCACAAAGAAGAGCCAUGGGGUACAGGUGUUCAUACCACGUUGCACCUUGGCCACAUUUGCGGAGGAGUCCCUUAAGAAAAUGGGCUCCAUCCACGAAUACAUUUGUCAAGGAUGGACCCCUUUUGCCAGUGGGACUGCAGAGGGGCCAGAAGAGGGCAGGGGGACCACUCAGCCAACAGAAAAAAGACAGAGGCGCGCAAAACAGGUGGCGGUCCACCACCACCACCACCUCUCACAGAGGCUGAAGAGAUGGCCCUCAGUCACAACAUUGGGCGACCCAUUGCUGAGGGCAUCUCUGGGGGGAGCUCAUCGGACCCAGCCACGCCCCAGGAUACAGGGGCCUACAUAAGAGUUACUGAAGAUGGUGUAAUCUGUCUCGUGGAGCCUUCUGCCAUAACACACCUCCAUGCUGUUGAGGAUGAUGAAGACACCUUAUCAGCUGCCAGAGGGAAGAUGCAGAGAGGCCUGUUAAGGGGAAAAACGGUCUGUCUAGUUACUGGACCAGAUGAAAUGAGACGGAGAGGUAAUAAAGUCUGUCGGCACGAGGACCUUGGAUUUAUUAAGUAAACGGUUAUACAGAGUCAUAAAGCGUGAGAAAUCGAAUAUGUCUAAGUCCCUAAUCAGCGCUGAUGGUUCGUCCAGAGCUUCGUGGAAGGUCUGCUUCAGAAGAAGAUCAAGAGUCCCUGUGUGAUACAGUUUUAUGCUGUAUCCUCCUCUCGAUGAGGUGUGUGCGUUUGAGGUGUGUGUGGUUCUGUGUGUUUUUGCUUGGCCUUGGCUCCCAGGCCCUGAUAUGCAUGUGUAUCCCUUGUGUUCCUCCUAACGGGGGAGAGCUUCGAAAUGUCUCCUGUGUGAUAAAUUAAAACGGGGGAGUGCCCCCCCGAAAUGUCUCCUGUGUGAUAAUUUAAUGUGGCUCUCAGGCCCUGGUGUGGGCAGGUGUAUCUCUUG
ensembl:lncRNA